rnacentral:rRNA from 1 species
CCUACGGGUGGCAGCAGUGGGGGAUAUUGCACAAUGGGGGGAACCCUGAUGCAGCGACGCCGCGUGGGUGAAGAAGCGCCUCGGCGCGUAAAGCCCUGUCAGCAGGGAAGAAAAUGACGGUACCCAAAGAGGAAGCUCCGGCUAACUACGUGCCAGCAGCCGCGGUAAUACGUAGGGAGCAAGCGUUGUCCGGAAUUACUGGGUGUAAAGGGAGCGUAGGCGGGAUGGCAAGUAGAAUGUUAAAUCCAUCGGCUCAACCGGUGGCUGCGUUCUAAACUGCCGUUCUUGAGUGAAGUAGAGGCAGGCGGAAUUCCUAGUGUAGCGGUGAAAUGCGUAGAUAUUAGGAGGAACACCAGUGGCGAAGGCGGCCUGCUGGGCUUUAACUGACGCUGAGGCUCGAAAGCGUGGGGAGCAAACAGGAUUAGAUACCCGGGUAGUC